rnacentral:rRNA from 1 species
UUUAAAGAAAGCGUAAUAGCUCACUGGUCGAGUCGGCCUGCGCGGAAGAUGUAACGGGGCUAAACCAUGCACCGAAGCUGCGGCAGCGACACUAUGUGUUGUUGGGUAGGGGAGCGUUCUGUAAGCCGUUGAAGGUGGCCUGUGAGGGUUGCUGGAGGUAUCAGAAGUGCGAAUGCUGACAUAAGUAACGAUAAAGCGGGUGAAAAGCCCGCUCGCCGGAAGACCAAGGGUUCCUGUCC